rnacentral:rRNA from 1 species
CAGUAGCCACGGUAAUACGGAGGAUCCAAGCGUUAUCCGGAAUCAUUGGGUUUAAAGGGUCCGUAGGCGGUCUUGUAAGUCAGUGGUGAAAGCCCAUCGCUCAACGGUGGAACGGCCAUUGAUACUGCAGGACUUGAAUUAUUGGGAAGUAACUAGAAUAUGUAGUGUAGCGGUGAAAUGCUUAGAGAUUACAUGGAAUACCAAUUGCGAAGGCAGGUUACUACCAAUUGAUUGACGCUGAUGGACGAAAGCGUGGGUAGCGAACAGGAUUAGAUACCCGAGUAGUCCCUGUCUCUUAUAA